ensembl:lncRNA
UAAUUUUAAAGUGCUGCUCCUCACAUGCAAGAUGACAUCGUCAGGCUCCACUUCCCCAAAUGAGACGCAUCGCCGCUUAGAUGCUGCCAGCGUUUCCCCUCCGGUGAUCCGUUUACACACAAAGAACUCUGAACUUCCUGCAGACGGAAAGUGAGUAGAGACCUCAGGACGAGGCUGCGUGUUCAGCAGAGACGCUCAUAGUUAUUACUGCAUUCGUCACCGAGGGGAUGUACACAGCUCGCUGUGUGCAGACGUAUCGGCACAAAACCACAAGGAGGCACUCGUAGUAGCCGUGAGGUACUCAGAUAUACUCGUAGUAGCCGUGAGGUACUCAGAUAUACUCGUAGUAGCCGUGAGGUACUCAGAUGUACUCGUAGUAGCCGUGAGGUACUCAGAUAUACUCGUAGUAGCCGUGAGGUACUCAGCAGGUAGUUAUGUUUCCAUUAGGCAAAUGAACAGUAACAGUGAACAAGCUGCUUUCUGCUUAGCGUGGGCACAGAGCGGGGGGGGGUUCGAGAGGGCAACUACCCAGUGGGGGUAUUAAGCAACAGGUACCCGGAGUCUGAGGGGUUUGCUGCAGUAGAAUGAGCGUUUCUUACAGUCCAAUAACUUAUUUGACUAAACACGAGGAGGGAAUCUCAGCAGCAAAGUUCACAAAGUCUUUCGUUUUUUUCUCCUCUUCAGCCAAUCAGCGAUCGUAGCGCCGCCACCAUCGCGAGCCCCGCGCUCAGCCCCGCCCACGAGGGUCCGGUGUUGGCCCCGCCUCCGUCCAGGCGCAGAGUGUUGUUGCAGGGUGGGGUUAGGUUUGCCGAGGUGGGGCGGAGCGGGACCCCGCCGGCGGUGGCGGGGACGCGGCGUAACAGGAAGUCGUGUUUCAUGGCAGAGUAGCGAUCGGGGCCGUACGGCACGCUCAGCGUCUCCGUCAAAACCUCGUGACCCGGGUACGUCACCUGUCAAUCAGAAGAGUCGGACUGUGACACACUGCACGGCGGUACCGCUGCAGAAACACCAGUUAUUGCUACUAUGCUAAGCUAGUUAGCUCUGUGUUAGCUCAGAUCGGAC